CUCAGGUGCAUGAAAAGCACCUGAGUGACUGGAAGGAGUAGAGUCAGAAUCCACCCCUUUGCAGACUUCAUUGAUGCAUUUGCGAUGGAAGCAAGAGUAUCCUGUUGGAGAUUCUUGUGUGCCUGAGGCCUUCUAAAGGUCUCUGAAUAGCACCUAGAAGAUGAAAAGUAUCUGCUCUUGAGUUGGAACUGGUAUGUUUUCUCUGAAUAUACUGUAGUGCAGGAAGCCCUCCUUUAGAUAGCCUUCUCUUCUGCAGGAUGAACAAUCCCAUCUCUCUGCCUGUCUUUAUAGAAGAGGUGUUCCAUCCCUUGGAUCACUUUUGUGGCCCUCCUCUGGAUGAACUCUGACAGGUCCAUGUCUCUUCUGUACUGAGAACUCUAGAUGUGGACACAGUACUCCAGGUGAGAUCUUAUCAGCACAAAGAAGAAGGACAGGAUCACCUCCCUCGACCCGCUGGCUAUGUUUCUUUUGAUGCAGACCAGAAUACAACUGGCUUUCUGGGCUGCAAAGACACAUUGCAGGCUCACAUACAUCUUACCAUCCACCAGUACUCCCAAGUCCUUUUCAGUAGGGCUAUCUUCAAUCCUUUUUUCUCCCAGCUUGUAUUGACGAUGGGGAUUGCCGUACUCCAGGUGCAAGAACUUGCGUUUGUCUUCGCUUAAGCUUAUGAGUUUCUCCUGUGCUCACUGCUUGACCCAUCUAGGUCUCUAUCACAAGAUCCUCUAGUGCAAAUAGGAAAUACAACAUAUGUUCAAAAUAAUAUACUAAUUCAUAUAGAGAUAAGUACAUUAAAUUUUCUCUCCUUUUUUUUUCUUUUCAGCAUAUUGAUCAAUAUAUAUUUCUCACAAAGUGGUAUACAUUUUGAUAAGCAGUUAUGAUGGGAAGAAAAAUAUAUUUCAUCAUAAUAUUACAGUUGCAUACUGACCCCCAUCCUCUUCAUUCCGCUAUUCCAAUAAUUAUUUCAAAUUGACAGUUUCACUAAGGACUGAAGAAAAUACUAUUUUUUUCAGAGGAAGAAAUAGAUUUGUUAUAGGUUAAAGCUUUUUGAACUGGGGAAAUUAAAAUCCAUGUGUGUUACAGCUGAAUAACCAAAAAAUCAAUUUGGAAUUACAGUACUGUUUUGUUUUUUGUUUUUUUUUUUUUUAGAAUAUUUGUUUACUCUUCACUGAGUAAACAAACUGAGAGACUAUUUGCUCAAUGAAGAUUUUUGUUUGAAACAGUUAUGAGAAUAGAUAAUUGAGGCUAUAUUUAUUUAAAUUUCUUCACUUGCCUAUAAAAUUCUUGUUUAACUAACAGUAUUCUUAAGGUGUUCUGUAUAACACAUGUAGACAUGAAUGUUGGUUUUGAAAAUACCAUCAAUACAUUUGAGCAAGAUCAGUAGGAGACGUCAUUUAUUUAUUUCAGAUUAAGUCAGGUAUAGCUCUGAAAUUUGAUCAUGCAUCACUUUAAAGUAUACUGUGGCAAAUCUUCAAGCUGUAUAAAUUGAUGUCAGUGUUCCCCUUUUUAAACUUUUGGAAAGGCAUUGAGGGAGAAAUAGAAUAAAUUAGCAACAAGCUGUUGACACAUUUUAAGAUCUCCUUUAAAAAUUGUAUUUACUUUUACAACUUAAAUUCACAGUAAGAUUAUUAUUCCUAUUGCUGUUGGUAGAUUUGAAAGUGACAGUCUGAACUGAACAUCAAACAGUACUUUUAAAUUUCAGCUAAAAUAUUAACAAUUCUUUGAAAAGGGGAAAAAGAUGUUUUUGUUUUUAUUUAUCUUUUUUAUUUAUUAUUUAUUCAUUCAUUAUUUAUUUUACUUAUCUUCACAAAACAAGUCUUGUUUUCUGCAUCAAGAAAACUAGUAUUUUUAUGUUUUAAAUAAAAUCUUGACAUUUUCAAGCUGGAAAAAAUAGAAGAAAGGGUCAACAUAAGGUCAGAGAACUGUUUUGUAUAUCUGUGUGAAAGACACCUGCAUUUGAAUAACUUACAAACUCCUGGAAAAAAUGCUGCUAACUCCUGCUAAAUAUGGGCUAGUGUGCACCUGCCAAUGCAUUUUCUGAAGAGGCCAUUUUUGUUGAGCACGUGACAGUACAAGAAAACUCUUACUGGAUUCCAGGAUCCACUGGGCACACAAACCACCAAGAAGAUUCCCUCCUGAGCAUUUAAUAACAUGCUUGCUGUUUCUUGGUGAUAGCUGAAGCAAAAGAAGAUACACAUCUGCAAAAAUCCAAAUGUAUGCAUACAUGGGGACACAACUUUAGGAGAUACAUAAUUUUCUAAUUGAAACAACUUCUACUCAUGUACAAAAAUAUAUUUAAGGCUUUCACUACAGCUGCAUUUCACAGUUGAGAACACUUUAAGGAUGUUUUCACUUCUGUGCUACAUGAUCCUGAUCCAAAAGCCACUGAGGUCUAAUGAAGCACUUCUGUUAAUGUCUUACAGGUCUUAUGUCAAAUUGUAAACCAGGAGGAAUCUAGUAAUUUUCAUAAGAUUUUUGUAGUAAUUCCAAUAAUGUAUAAACUAAAGUAUUUAUUAAGGAGAAUGAUAGCAUGUCUGCUAACUAUGUAAAUGCCAAAGGUACUGUAUUCUCUAGUCCAUUUUACCCCUCAGUUAAGUGCUGCUAUUUUUUUGAGAUAUGCUGUUACUUUCUUGGGGCAGAGAGUUAGUUUUCUCGGUGAGAAUGGGUUCCAUCUGUUACAUGGGGCUGAAAAAUUGUGUUUUGAGAUUACAUUCAAAAACAAGCAAUGGGAAAAGGCAAUAUAUUCAUUUUAUUUCAUUUUCAUUAUGCAGUAAUUCAUAAGAAAAAGAACUGGAUUAUUACAUGUGGCUGUUCAUCUUAUAGAAUUUCCGUAGUAACACAAAGCUGACGGUGUUUGGCUGAAUUGCUAUUAAACUGUUACAGCAGUCAACCAAAGCAAGGGCCCUUACUUAUAAAACACUGCAUGCAUUCUGAGAAAACAACAGUCUUUGCCUAAAUCUGUGCCCCAACAUAAAUAAUGUUAGACAAAAUGUAACAAUCAAGCAAACAAAACAUUAAGUUAAACUAAACACUGAGAAAUAAACCAACUUUCCUAAAGUCAUACAGAAAACUAAUGACAGAGCAGAAACUGAAGCCUAGUCUUCUGAAAACUAUGUUGAACAUUUUAAGUGGAAAUCUAGGGCUGCUCCAAAAGUAAUGCCUCCUAUUUUCUUAUUUUGGCCCACAUCAGAAAAAGGUGUUGGUGAUGCAGCAGUAGAGGUUGGACCUUCCCACCAUUAUUCUGUUACAUUUUGUUUCUGUGUGACAGAUGGCAACAGAGGGGUAGUAUGACAAAAUGGUAUCAACAUGGAAGUGCAGAAGAAGAAAAUAUGUCACUGAAUUCCUCCAUAUUGAAAAAAUGGCACCUGUUGACAUUCACUGACGCUUGCUGAACAUUUAUGGAGAGGCUGACCAGUGGAUGUGUGUGUACUGAGGCAGUGGAUGGUGCAUUUUAGCAGUUGUGACAGUGGUCACGUCCAGUAGUGUAGGUUCUUACAAAUGUGACAUGCAGGCUUUUGUUCAUCGCUGUUGAAAAUGGUAGUGACUAUGUUGAAAAAGAUUGUUUUGUUGGUGAGAAUUUGCUCUGUCAGUUAGUGUUAUUGCACUCUGUGUAUAUGUUGUAUUUUCCAUGAAAAUGAAUAGGAGGCAUUACUUUCAGAGCAACCCAUACAUAUUGUUAUAUGAGAUGGCAGUUAAAGAGAUGCACUUUAGGCACCUUGAUAUUCAGUGCUUUUGUGGAAUUUUUUUUGUGGAAUUGCAGUGCUUUUCAAUG